rnacentral:rRNA from 1 species
CCUACGGGAGGCAGCAGUGGGGAAUUUUGGACAAUGGGCGCAAGCCUGAUCCAGCAAUGCCGCGUGAGUGAAGAAGGCCUUCGGGUUGUAAAGCUCUUUUGUCAGGGAAGAAAAGGUAGCCUCUAAUACAGGCUGCUCAUGACGGUACCUGAAGAAUAAGCACCGGCUAACUACGUGCCAGCAGCCGCGGUAAUACGUAGGGUGCAAGCGUUAAUCGGAAUUACUGGGCGUAAAGCGUGCGCAGGCGGUUAUAUAAGUCAGCUGUGAAAUCCCCGGGCUCAACCUGGGAACUGCAGUUGAGACUGUAUGGCUAGAGUGUGUCAGAGGGGGGUAGAAUUCCACGUGUAGCAGUGAAAUGCGUAGAUAUGUGGAGGAAUACCGAUGGCGAAGGCAGCCCCCUGGGAUAACACUGACGCUCAUGCACGAAAGCGUGGGGAGCAAACAGGAUUAGAUACCCUGGUAGUCCACGCCCUAAACGAUGUCUACUAGUUGUUGGGUCUUAAUUGACUUAGUAACGCAGCUAACGCGUGAAGUAGACCGCCUGGGGGAGGUACGGUCGCGAGAGUAACUACAAUAGAGUUAGAGGACGUUGAGACGNGCCGACGGACGACGACGAGGGAGGUAGG